AAAAAAAUAUAAUUAAAUAUUCCCAUAAAUAUCUAAUUAAACCAACCAAUAACAUAAUAAUUAAACCGCAAGUCAGAAAUACUAUUUUAUGAAUAAAUAAAUAAUUCGAUCAACAAAACCAAGAAUAACUGACAAUGCUAACCGGGUUCCAAUAACCAAAAACACCAAACAUAAAACAAAUGAGUUCGUAGAUCAUCCUCUCUUCCUUGCCAUGAUUCCACAAUCACACUUUAUCUUUACCUGCAUCAACAACACAAUGAGAUGUGUAAGUAUUAUCAUAAAUACUUAGUGAGGCGAUCCUCCCAUCUACGAACUAUACACACAAGCAAAUAAAAAGGUAUAAUCACGAAUACAAUACAAACAAACCAGUCAUUGAACAAUUCACCCAAAACACAUUCACCACACCUACAUAUCAUCACACAAAACAAAUCACACAACCCAAUCGCUCAGAUAAGCUCAUGGUCACGCACUCACCUUAACAAAUUGAUUCUAAUAGCAAUUAAACCCAGGAGAGACUCUCUUUGCGUCUGAAACAGUCCAGAAACAGUCCAGAAACGUCCUACAACAAGUCCACAACCAAAAGCAACCUUGAAGCAAACUGGAUAGGAAAAACCAGAAACAAGCAAUCUCAAAGACGAAACCCUAAAAUACAAACUAACCGUUAACUAUUCAAUCGCUCCGGUGAAAUCCUAGACGUCACAAAGCUGUCCACAAAAUCUCGUGCCGAUCGGAAAACAGACGAGACCACGAUCUCAGUUUCAAUCUCCGCUGGUCUUAAUUCGCGUCUGAGAAAACGUGUCUCACGAAACUGCAAAUAACUCAACCAAUUUUAAUCCAACUCCAAUUCUGUAAACUGGAGAAUAACGAUAAAGGACUUGGAAAUAACUCUACCAAAUUUCGUUACCUUUUACCACGAUUUGAUAUGACGAAACUGAUUUCUCCCAAACCUUAACGAUUCUGCUCCUUCUCCUUUUCUCUCUUUUUCUCCUUUAUAAAACGAAAAGUGGCUAACCAAAGCCCUAAUUUCGAGUUUCCUUCUUUUAUAGGCACACUCUAGGGUUUCCAAUUAACCCAACCAAUUAAACCGGAUGAUUUAAAAACAAACCCUAACCGAUUUUCCGGUUCACGGGCGUUACAAUUCUCCCCCACUAACAUAGAUUCGUCCUCGAAUCUAACUUCAACCUUCCACUCCGAGGAACUCCGUGCAACCAUCACUACAGUCUGCACUCCCUCCAACCAGACCCCCUCUAGGUCUCUCUAUCCAGUCGAUAUACUAACGAUUUACUAGUCAUUGUUGCUCACAACUCACUCUCCACUCUCACACCGCAAUCUUCGAGCAUAAACCGUCACUCUCAGGCCUCGGCCUACGGUAUCUCGGGUAUCACACAUAUUAUCUUCCCCACUCAAAGUCAACCCUGAGUUGUGUCGGCUCACUCUCAGCCACAAAGUCAUCGAGUUACGACACUUGGAGAAAAUAAUACCACAAAACUCACUCUCGGGUCGUCACCCUAAAGCGUGCUCUCAAAUCGUCACCCGAAGCCACCGUACCCCUCGUACUCUAAAGACACCAUGUCCCUCGAGUUACCGGUACCUCAGGCGCAUACCCCGCUCCUCACGAGUCGUUGGGACCCUCAUGUCCCUCGAGAAACAAUACUAAACGCUUCCGAGCAUAUCUCCAGACUCUCUCAUGGAUUCGCGUAAGACACCUCUAUGCCUCACCAUCCAUCAUAUCCCCUCGAGAACAUCCUUAUGACCAACUCCCGGCCAUCUCGUAAACACACCUUUCUCUUAGGUUGUUUACUCAAACUUUCCAAAAAUAGACAAGUCCUUUCUAGGAAACUUUUCAUUUUUGGAAACCGCACAACACAUUCUUAAAUAAGACAACUCAAGUCAAAUCCAAGAAAAAAAUACUCAUCUUAUUAAUCAUCAACUGUCAUGAUCGUUACAACUCCAAACGAAAAUACAAAUGAAAAAGAAAUAAGAACAACAACUCAAAAGCUCAAAAACUCAACAACACUCGAACCACUUCUUGAACCUUGCCUUCAUCCUCGCCUCUGGCUCCCAAGUCUCCUUUGUCACACCAUCGCAGUCCCACAGGACUUUGAUCAAAGGAAUCUUCUUCCGCCGAAGUUCCUUGAUCCUCCUCUCGAGAACCCUCACUGGUCUCGCCUCCAAAGUCAUGUUGGGCUGAAGAUCCUCUGGAAUCUUAGCCAACACCUCAUCAUCCUUGUGAAGACACUUCCUCAGCAUCGACACAUGAAAGACCUUGUGAAACGCACGCAUAACAUCAGGCAACUCUAACCUGUAUGCCACUGGUCCCACCCUCUCAACAAUCCUGAACGGACCCAUGUACCUCGGACUCAACUUAGUCUCUGAGAUAGACCUGUUCGGACCUCGCAACAUGGCCAUCUUAAGAUACACUCUGUCCCCAACCUCAAACUCAAGCUCUCUCCUCCUCUUGUCAGCAUAACUCCGCUGUCGAUCCUGAGCUUCCUUCAUGUUCAACUUAAGAACCCGGAUCCUCUCCGUGGUUUCCUGAACAUAAUCUGCACCAUAUAUGCUCCUCUCCCCCACCUGGGUCAAGCAUAACGGUGUCCUGCAUGGCCUCUCGUACAACGCUUCAAAAGGAGCCAUCCCAAUACUCGCCGGAUAGCUAUUGUUAUAAGCAAACUCUACCAAACUCAAGUGAUCCGCCCAAUGACCUCCCCAAUCCAAGACACACAUCCGCAACAUAUCCUCAAGCGUCUGAAUAGUCCUCUCAGAUUGCCCAUAUGUCUGUGGAUGAUAAGCCGUGCUCAUCUGCACCUUAGUACCCAUCUCUGCCUGAAAGGCUCUCCAAAAUGCAGAAGUAAACUUGGAAUCCCUGUCUGACACAAUACUCACAGGUACUCCAUGCAACUUCACGAUCUCGCUCACAUAUUUCUUAGCCAAUACCGCCGCUCCAUCGGUUUUUCUGAUGGCCAGAAAAUGUGCUGACUUAGUCAGACGGUCCACGAUCACCCAAAUAGCAUCUUUGGUUCGCGACACAGGCAACCCAACCACAAAAUCUAUAGUGAUAAAAUCCCACUUCCACUCAGGAAUCGGUAAACUCUGCAACAUGCCACCUGGCACCUGAUGCUCAGCCUUAACUAACUGGCAAACAUCGCACUCUGCAACCCAAUUAGCUACAUCCCUCUUCAUCCCGACCCACUAAUAGUACCGCUUGAGGUCUCGGUACAUAUUAGUCGCUCCUGGAUGAAUGGAAAACAUGCUCGCAUGAGCUUCACUCAAGAUCUCCCGUUGCAACUCCUCAUCCUUAGGCACACAAACUCGCCCAUGCACAAGGAUAGUCCCAUUAGCUGCAAACUAAUACUCAGAGCCCUCUGCCUUAUAAGCCGCAAUCAACCCCUCAUCCUUCUCCUGAGCCAACCGAACUCUAGUCAGCAGAUCUGCUCGAUCCACAGCUUCCAAUCCCAAUGGCUCUCGUGCCACAGCACACAACCGCAAAGCACCAAUCUCACUCACCAAGGCCUCAACACUCUGUCCUGGAGCCGCGCCCACGCGCUUAUGGCUCAACGCGUCUGCAACCACAUUAGCCUUACCAGGAUGGUAAGCUAUCUCCAGAUCAUAAUCAGCCACCAACUCCAUCCAUUGCCUCUGCCUUAGGUUCAGCUCUGGCUGAGUGAAGAUAUACUUCAAACUCUUAUGAUCCGUGAACACCUGCACAUUCCCGCCAUAAAGAUAAGACCUCCAAAUUUUCAAGGCAAAGAUUACUGCAGCCAUCUCCAAAUCGUGAGUAGGAUAGUUGCCCUCAUGCUUCCUCAACUGCCGUGAUGCAUAGGCAAUAACCUUCCCACGCUGCAUUAGAACACAACCCAAACCAACUCCCGAGGCAUCAGUAUACACCAUGUAAGGCUCUCCAUGCUCUGGCAAUGCUAACACUGGUGUACUCGUCAACAUCUCCUUCAGGCUCACGAAACCCUCCUCGCACUCCGGUGACCACACAAAAGGAACAUCCUUCCCUGUCAGCUUAGUCAUCGGUUGUGCCAUACUCGCAAACCCCUUGACGAACCUCCUGUAAUACCCUGCCAACCCAAGAAAACUCCUGAUCUCAGUGGCAUUCGUCGGUGUAUGCCAAUCUCUGAUAGCCUCAAUCUUCUCUGGAUCCACUGAAACUCCCUCUGCAGAAACAAUGUGACCCAGAAAACCCAUCUCUCUCUGCCAGAAACUGCACUUACUCAACUUAGCGAACAACUUCUGUUCCCGUAGCUUCUCCAUCACUCUCCUCAGAUGUACCUCAUGCUCCUCAAGACUCUUAGAAUACACCAGAAUGUCAUCAAUAAAGAUGAUCACAAACUCAUCCAAAACCUCCUGGAACACGCUGUUCAUCAACCUCAUGAACGCUGCAGGUGCAUUAGUCAACCCGAAAGGCAUCACCACGAACUCAAAAUGUCCAUAUCUCGUCCUGAAAGCAGUCUUGCGAACAUCUGCCUCCGCUAUCGGGAUCAGGUGAUAACCCGACGUCAAAUCGAUUUUGGAGAAACAAGUAGCACCCCUCAACUGGUCCAACAACUCAUCGAUCCUUGGCAAAGGGUACUUGUUCUUCACAGUGACCCAGUUCAACCCCCGGUAGUCAAUACAUAAGCGGAAACUCCCGUCCUUCUUCUUCACAAAUAACACUGGCGCUCCUCAAGGUGAAGUACUAGGACGAAUGAAUCCCUUACCCAACAAAUCCUCUAGCUGCUUCUUUAGCUCUGCCAUCUCUGCUGGAGCCAUCCUGUAGGGUGCCUUAGACAACGGCGCUGUCCCUGGUUCCAACUCAAUCGUGAAAGGAUCAGACCGUGAUGGUGGUAAUCCCUGCAACGAUUGAAACACAUCCUCGAACUCCUGAAUAACCCGAAUGUCGCUCACUGCUACCUACCCCACAGACUCCGGCAUAGAUAUCCUCACCAGGUAAGCCUCGCAUCCCUUCUCGAUCAUUUUCUCUGCCUGCACUGCUGAGAUGACGAGACUCCCUGAGGUAGGUCUCACUCCCUGAUAAACCAAACUUCCCUCUGGCCGCUCAAAAGAAACUCUCCCACGGUGGCAGUCAAGAUGUACUCUAUAAUGAUCCAACCAAUCCAUUCCCAGAAUAACAUCAUACAACUCUACAGGGCUGAUAAUCAAAUCUGCUGGCAUUGACUCCCCUGCAAUCUGAAUAUCCACACCCUUUGUUCUCCCCAGAACCGCUACAAACUGCCCUCCAGCAACCUUGACGGCUCCAAGCUGCUCACCAGGAUCCCCACGGAUGUUGCCGCGCGAGGCACUCUCCGGGGUAAUGAAGCAAUGCGAUGCUCCAGAGUCAAACAACACAUGGGCCUCUACACCGCCCACUAAUAAGGUCCCUACACAGACCUCAUGUGCUAAGAACCCUAACAUUCAUCACAAAACAAUGAUAUCCAAAACAACAGAAAUAUUUCACAAAGUCUAAGUCUCAGAAAUCAUACCAGUAAUCGCUCUGUUGCUGGUACCGCCUAUCUCACGCGUAGUGCAACCCUGCGGUGCCGCUGCAAUAUGUGCCAACUGCUGCACUCCCUGCUGCCACUGCCAUCCGCUGCAGCUUAGGACAAUUCGGCCUGAGAUGUCCCCUCUCCCUGCAGUGGUAGCACUCCCCGAACCGACCGCUCACCCUGUGUCAGCUCAAGAAAAUGCGCCUCCAUACGGUCGAGCGCCUCCUGCGGAAAGUACUUGGCAUUAAACUCAGCCACAAAAUCUGCCCAAGAUAUAUCCGCCUGCCGCCUCCUGGCAGUCACACUCCGCCACCACAAAUGUGCAUCCCCCUCUAGAAAAUGCACUGCUAGAUCUAUCCGAUACUCCGCCGGACAUCUGCUCGAACCGAAGUUCCGCUCAACCCGCGACCUCCAACUGUCGGCCACCUCAGGACUAGUACCACCAGAAAAAUAACCGGUGCCAAUCCUCUGCAACUGCUCCAUCAUCCUCAAAUAAGAUGGAACCUCCUCAGCAACCGCAGCCCGCUGCUGCACCUCCGCCACUCGUGGCGCAACUGGAGCCUCCACUGGUACCACACCUGCUAACCGCUCCAAUAACUGCCUCAACAGGCCCGCCAAACCAACCUCUGGAACCUGGACUCCUCCGGCUGCGGCACCCAUCACUCCUGGGCCCUCAGCACCAACGGCAUGCACACCGGUACCGACACCAGCUCCACCAGCCCCCACUCCGGCUGCACCAGCUAUAUCGGUACCAAGACCGUUCCCAACCCCGGGCUCCACAAACUCAGGCUGCAAACCCACACUCUGCUCAACUGUGGCACUGUGGCCAUCACUCUCGCCGGUACCCUCGAGGACUCGUCCCCUACCGCGACCACGACCGCGACCACGACCACGAACUCCAGCUCCUCUAACCAUCUGCGCUACUCAAGAACAAAUGGCUAAGAAACUAAAACAAACGAAUAUAUCACAAACAACUUACCGUGGAAUCUCAUUUAAGGCUCGGAGAAGAUGAUGCUAGGACUCCAACAACACACAAUUGACUAAACACUCCAUAAUCAAUCCUCAAUAUGCUAACACCCUAGCUCAUCCCACAUCAAUCAACAAAAAAAUAAUUCAUCAAUUAAUUUUUCUACACAUCCUAGAACCGUAAUCGCUCUGAUACCAAAUUGAAACAACCCGACCCAUUUUUUUUUUUA
rnacentral:sRNA from 1 species